rnacentral:pre_miRNA from 1 species
AUGUAGGGCAAUCUGUUUUUAAGUAAGGGUAAAUUAUUAAAAAAAGGAAUCCUAGAUAGUUUUCCCUUCAAGUCAAGCAUCUAGU